CGACCACAUGCUGGCUGCAUGAGCAGGCAUCUUUCCAGCCUACAUGUGGAUCCAGGAAUCUGCAGGCUGGUUAGAUGGUUGUCAAGCAUCUGGCCAAGCCCUCG
rnacentral:pre_miRNA from 14 species